rnacentral:rRNA from 1 species
AGAGUUUGAUCAUGGCUCAGAACGAACGGUGGCGGCGUGGAUAAGACAUGCAAGUCGAACGGGAUGUUCUGUAUAGCAAUAUGCAGGGUGUUCAGUGGCGCAAGGGUGCGUAACACGUGGGCAAUCUGCCCGGGGGAGUGGGAUAGCUCGGCGAAAGCCGAAUUAAUACCACAUAAGACUAUUGGAAGCAUUUCCGAGAUGUCAAAGGUGGCGCAAGCUGGGCGCUCCUGGAUGAGCCCGCGGCCUAUCAGCUAGUUGGCGGGGUAACGGCCCACCAAGGCGAUGACGGGUAGCUGGUCUGAGAGGACGACCAGCCACACUGGAACUGAGACACGGUCCAGACACCUACGGGUGGCAGCAGUCGAGAAUUUUUCUCAAUGGGCGCAAGCCUGAAGGAGCGACGCCGCGUGGAGGAUGAAGGUCUUCGGAUUGUAAACUCCUGUCAUUUGGGAACAAAUACCAGGUUUAACUGACCUGGAACUGAUAGUACCAGAAGAGGAAGAGACGGCUAACUCUGUGCCAGCAGCCGCGGUAAUACAGAGGUCUCAACCGUUGUUCGGAUUCAUUGGGCGUAAAGGAUGCGUAGGCGGUCGCGCAAGUCGGAUGUGAAAUCUUGGGGCUCAACCCCGAAACUGCAUUCGAUACUGCGUGGCUUGAGUACUGGAGAGGAGACUGGAAUUUACGGUGUAGCAGUGAAAUGCGUAGAUAUCGUAAGGAAGACCAGUGGCGAAGGCGAGUCUCUGGACAGUUACUGACGCUGAGGCACGAAGGCCAGGGGAGCAAACGGGAUUAGAUACCCCGGUAGUCCUGGCAGUAAACGGUGUACGUUUGGUGUAGGCGGAUUCGACCCCGCCUGUGCCGGAGCUAACGCGUUAAACGUACCGCCUGGGAAGUACGGUCGCAAGAUUAAAACUCAAAUGAAUUGACGG